GCUGUGGUGGCCGAGUGGUUAAGGUAUUGGGCUAGAAGUCCAGUAGGCUUUUCCUGUGCAGGUUCAAAUCCUGCUCACAGCA
rfam:Pelodiscus sinensis unplaced genomic scaffold scaffold1493, whole genome shotgun sequence.